rnacentral:rRNA from 1 species
UACGUCCCGGCCUUGUACACACCGCCCGUCACACCACGAAAGUCAGUUGCAACAGAAGCGCCCGCCUCGGGUGGGAACCAAGUUGUGAUUGGUGAUUGGGGUG